rnacentral:rRNA from 1 species
GACGUAGGUGGCGAACGUUAUCCGGAAUUAUUGGGCGUAAAGGGUGCGUAGGCGGCAUGAUAAGUUAUUGGCGGCAAAUCGAGGCUCAACCUCGUGGAAACUGAUAAUACUGUCUUGCUUGAGUGCAGAAGAGGUUAACGGAACUCCAUGUGGAGCGGUAAAAUGUGUAGAUAUAUGGAAGAACAUCAAUAACGGCGAAGGCAGUUAACUAUUCUGUUACUGACGUUGAGGCACGGAA